UACGGAGGGUGCAAGCGUUGUUCGGAAUUAUUGGGCGUAAAGGGUAGGUAGGUGGUCUCGUUUGUCUGGGGUGAAAUCCCUAGGCUUAACUUAGGAAGUGCCCCAGAAACGGCGAGACUGGAGUCCUGGAGAGGGUCGUGGAAUUCCCGGUGUAGCGGUGAAAUGCGUAGAGAUCGGGAGGAACACCAGAGGCGAAGGCGGCGACCUGGACAGGUACUGACACUCAACUACGAAAGCGUGGGGAGCAAACAGG
rnacentral:rRNA from 1 species